rnacentral:rRNA from 1 species
UACGUAGGGGGCAAGCGUUGUCCGGAUUUAUUGGGCGUAAAGAGCGUGUAGGCGGCCAAGCAGGUCCGCUGUGAAAACUCGAGGCUCAACCUCGAGACGUCGGUUGAAACCGUACGGCUAGAGUCCGGAAGAGGAGAGUGGAAUUCCCGGUGUAGCGGUGAAAUGCGCAGAUAUCAGGAGGAACACCAAUAGCGAAGGCAGCUCGCUGGGACGUUACUGACACUGAGGCGCGAAAGCGUGGGGAGCAAACAGG